AGAGGUUGAUAUACUGAGGCAGAGCUUGAGAAUCGUGAGCAGUAUGAAUGCACCAUGCUUUGAUCUUAGCAAACCCAAGUUGACAAUUGUGAAACAGGCUAGCAAAGCGUAGCAUUUUAAGUAAAGUUCCACUUUCUGGUAGAUUGUAUGGCUAUUAAAAUUCAAUGAAACAAAAACUCCAACUUCGCAUUGCUCUAAUUGCUUGCCAGUCAAAUGCAGCAAACUUUAUGAAAUACUGUCUGGAAUAAUAAGUAUGAGGUAGUAGACUUUAGGAGAAAGAGACAAGAAAAUGUGGGACACCUGAUAGUCCUCUUCCCCAUACCCAUCUGAGCUUCUGGUUGAACUAAUUCGUCUUGCAAUUCUAGCUAGAGGCGUAUUUAGUUUCAUCUCUAGUAAACUUUUUCCUUGUUAGUCCCAUAUACUAUUUGCUUGUUAAAAUGCCUUUGAAGAUAGUCCUAUUUCCAAGGCAAAUUCCUUGAGAAGGGAAAGAAAUAACUUCAGAAUUUAUUCUUCACAAAAUUUGCA
rnacentral:misc_RNA from 1 species